UGUUCCCCGUCAUUGUUGGUCCUCCUCCCGCAAGCCACUCCUGCGAGUGGCGGCUAGGGUUGGCGAUGAUGAGUGGCCAGACGGAUCGAGGCGGGACGGAGGUAGCAGCUGAUGUGGCAGGGAGAUACAGAGGAGCGGCGUCCAUCCAAUCCUCCUGAUGCGAGGUGCACGAUUGGACCGGAGGUGUCGGGUCGAGGCAUGGAAGUCGAUGCGCGCGGUCGGACUGACUGGAGGAGCGAGAUCUGAUUCGCCGCCGUUCUCUGCGGCCGCUACCCCUCACGGAACCGUCCUUGGAGCGCACGCACCACUACCUCAGCUUGUCUUUCUUGCUCCACCAACUCAUAACUCAUUGAAGACUCUCCGCCGCCGUUGUCUACAGUCUGACAUGAUCCACUGCUCAGGCCGACAGCCAUGGAGGAGUACAUGGCGAGCAUGAAGGUCCUCUAUACGGCACUGAGCUGCAGGCAAAACAUGUGAGAAACGAGUCCGGGCAGCAUGCCAAAGGUGAGGGUGCACAUCAUCUGUGCCGCAAGGCCCAAUAUCUUCUCUAAUCCAAUUCGCCCAACAAACAUCAAACCAAUGCGUGGCAUUUAUAAUUUAUCCCCUUCCUCUAUUCCUUGAUGUGGGCAAAGCUUUCCAAUGUGUUCGUUUUUUUGUAUAUAAACCAGAUUCACAUAGCUUGGUAUGCAGCUGCUUGCAUACACAACAAGGAAUAUUAUCAGGGAAGCUCUUGUGGCCAAAGCGUAUGAUUCUAUUUAGGUGGUUCGAGCACCACCGAGUGUGAUUACUUUUCUUUCAACUUCCUAUGCCCAUGUAAUGUGACUUAAGCAUCUACAAGUAAUUUAUUUGUUUUCAUUAUUAUAUAUUUGAUUACAUGUCUGUUGGGCAUUUGGCUUUUUGAUUGCUUGUAGAACCAAUUGAGACAUCGAUGGAAAAUUUCAAGGAUUAUAUUAAGGCAUUUAGGAACUAAGGAAUUUCCUAAUUGACAUAAUCUACAUUGCGUGUGCAAUGCAAAAAUAUCACGUCCCCAAAAAUCUCACAAGUUUGCAGGUAUGCCAUUUCUGAUCAACAGUUAUGCUCUCCCACUUCUCUCAUGCUCUUCUCUUGUUAUCUGCAAUAUAUGAUGUUAUUGUUGAUAUUUUGUGUCAUUAAUUGAAUUUUCACCGAUGGACAUAUGCAGGAAGAUAGAAGUGAAAAGAAUUGAUGCAUGCCUCUUGGCCAUGAAGAGAAAUAUAAUGAGUCCUGCACCGGAGGAGCCAAAGUCUCCGAGGCAACCGUGAUAGAAGUUGAUCUGGAGGUGAUGCUUGAUGUGAAGGUUACUGCUUAAUGAAGGAUAGAUGUUGCUCCUAUGUUCAUAACCCAGUGGCGGCUAUAAACCAAAGUGAGCUACAGACGGACACACACAAUUGUAAGAAAGUAAAAUAGUACUGCGAGUUGAUAGAGUUCCUGCUUAGUAUCUUCCUGCCAUGGUUUAUUACUUACUACCGAUUGGAGAAUCUCUUAUUUCAAAAUGCAAAGGAAACAUGCAUUAAAUAAUUUAUUUCAGUAUAUUUUAUCUUUCUCUAUAAUUUAUCAUGGGCGUCGGUGUCUCUCACGAAGUGAGGUACUGCUGAAGAACAACCGGACCGGAUUGGUUGUCGACGACAGAGGCAUGGCCCAAUGAUAUGCCUAGGUGUAAUCCCUUCUAUAAUUUUAUUACAGGCCAUAAUGCAUCGAUUUCUUUAGAUAAUAAAUAUUGUCAAAAAAUCUGAAAUAU